rnacentral:rRNA from 1 species
GGUUAAGCGACUAAGCGUACACGGUGGAUGCCCUGGCAGUCAGAGGCGAUGAAGGGCGUGCUAAUCUGCGAUAAGCGCCGGUAAGGUGAUAUGAACCGUUAUAACCGGCGAUACCCGAAUGGGGAAACCCAGUGUGAUUCGUCACACUAUCAUUAACUGAAUCCAUAGGUUAAUGAGGCGAACCGGGGGAACUGAAACAUCUAAGUACCCCGAGGAAAAGAAAUCAAUCGAGAUUCCCCCAGUAGCGGCGAGCGAACGGGGAGGAGCCCAGAGCCUGAAUCAGCAUGUGUGUUAGUGGAAGCGUCUGGAAAGGCGCGCGAUACAGGGUGACAGCCCCGUACACAAAAGCGUAUGUGCUGUGAGCUCGAUGAGUAGGGCGGGACACGUGGUAUCCUGUCUGAAUAUGGGGGGACCAUCCUCCAAGGCUAAAUACUCCUGACUGACCGAUAGUGAACCAGUACCGUGAGGGAAAGGCGAAAAGAACCCCGGCGAGGGGAGUGAAAAAGAACCUGAAACCGUGUACGUACAAGCAGUGGGAGCACCCUU